rnacentral:misc_RNA from 1 species
GAUGAAGAACGCAGCGAAAUGCGAUAAGUAAUGUGAAUUGCAGAAUUCAGUGAAUCAUCGAAUCUUUGAACGCACAUUGCGCCCGCCAGUAUUCUGGCGGGCAUGCCUGUUCGAGCGUCAUUUCAACCAUCAAGCCCCAGGCUUGUGUUGGGGACCUGCGGCUGCCGCAGGCCCUGAAAACCAGUGGCGGGCUCGCUGUCACACCGGGCGUAGUAGAUUUUAUCUCGCUCAGGGCGUGCUGCGGGUUCCGGCCGUUAAAAAGCCUUUUUACCCAAGGUUGACCUCGGAUCAGGUAGGAAGACCCGCUGAACUUAAGCAUAUCAAUAAGCGGAGGA